UACGUAGGUGACCAGCGUUGUCCGGAUUUACUGGGCGUAAAGAGCGCGCAGGCGGUCGUUCAAGUCGAGUGUGAAAGCCCCCGGCUCAACUGGGGAGGGUCACUCGAUACUGAUCGACUUGAAGGCAGGAGAGGGAAGCGGAAUUCCUGGUGUAGCGGUGAAAUGCGCAGAUAUCAGGAGGAACACCGGUGGCGAAGGCGGGUCUCUGGGCCGAUACUGACGCUGAGGAGCGAAAGCGUGGGGAGCGAACAGG
rnacentral:rRNA from 1 species